GGGUGAGAAUACACAGGAUGCGAUCUCCUCUUACUAGGAGUGAUCGAUUCUUUGUUGACCAACUCACAACCUUAAUACAUGCUUUACUAUAUCUAAAACAUUCCAUACAUAUCUUAAUAUCAUGCUUGGGUAUGAACCAUAAUAUGGGUUCAUGUGCACAAGAUUUCAUGAUGAUCUCAGGUCUAAAGAUCACUUGCACAAC
rnacentral:lncRNA from 1 species